AUACGUAGGGGGCGAGCGUUGUCCGGAAUGAUUGGGCGUAAAGGGCGCGUAGGCGGCCCGGUAAGUCUGGAGUGAAAGUCCUGUUUUUAAGAUGGGAAUUGCUUUGGAUACUGUCGGGCUUGAGUGCAGGAGAGGUAAGUGGAAUUCCCAGUGUAGCGGUGAAAUGCGUAGAGAUUGGGAGGAACACCAGUGGCGAAGGCGACUUACUGGACUGUAACUGACGCUGAGGCGCGAAAGUGUGGGGAGCAAACAGGAUUAGAUACCCUGGUAGUCCACACUGUAAACGAUGAAUGCUAGGUGUAGGGGGUAUCGACCCCUUCUGUGCCGCAGUCAACACAAUAAGCAUUCCGCCUGGGGAGUACGGCCGCAAGGUU
rnacentral:rRNA from 1 species